rnacentral:rRNA from 1 species
AACGUAGGGGACAAGCGUUAUCCGGAUUUACUGGGCGUAAAGCGCCCGUAGGCGGCUUAAUAAGUCGGGUGUGAAAGCCCCGGGCUCAACCUGGGAAUUGCAUUCGAGACUGAAUAGCUAGGGUACGGUAGAGGGAAGUGGAAUUUCCGGUGUAGCGGUGAAAUGCGUAGAUAUCGGAAGGAACAUCAGUGGCGAAAGCGACUUCCUGGACCAGUACCGACGUUCAGGCACGAAAGCGUGGGGAGCAAACAGG